rnacentral:rRNA from 1 species
UACGUAGGGGGCUAGCGUUGUCCGGAAUCAUUGGGCGUAAAGCGCGUGUAGGCGGCUUGGUAGGUCCGCUGUGAAAACUCGAGGCUCAACCUCGAGAUGUCGGCGGAAACCACUUGGCUAGAGUCCGGAAGAGGAGAGUGGAAUUCCUGGUGUAGCGGUGAAAUGCGCAGAUAUCAGGAAGAACACCUAUGGCGAAGGCAGCUCUCUGGGACGGUACUGACGCUGAGACGCGAAAGCGUGGGGAGCGAACAGG